AGGCCGCACUCCUCAUCCGAGGACCCGGAGCAGAAACCACAAGAACCAGUGGUUUGCAUCAGGGAGCGUGCGGCUGAUGUUGUGACGCUGCAGACUCCUGGAAGCGUCAGGGAGCAUCACGGCAGCGGUUCACCCGCAAACCACAAGAAACGACCUCGAGGAGACAGCGAGACUUCUCCUCCUGGAGCUCUUGAUAAAGUUGGAGCUGGAGACUCAGACACUGAAGACUGUGCUUUCAACACCUUCUGGUUCUGGAGGCCCCCCCUACCUAAACUCGACCUCUCACUGCUGGAAGAUGACCACAGCCAUCCCCAAACAGAGCAGAGGUCAGAGGUCAGAGGUCGUUCCUCUGUUGCCAUGGAGACGUGAGGUGGCUAACAUCAGUAGGCCAACAUGAUGAUUGAAAAACAUGAUGUGCUCAAUUAGGUUGCCCGGAUUGCAUCCAGGUGAGAUGCGACAACCUGACUGUCCAAUGAGCCCUGUCUGACUGACACGUGGGCUUUAGAAAGUGAGUGAAACCAGAGAGCGCAAACCUCCCCCCAAGCUGAUUGGCCACUUUACCAACUGAUCAUAUAUAUUCGCUCUCUACAAAUGCCUGAUUCUUUUUUAUAAAGAUCUCUACAUUAUUCCUUGAGAAAUUCAGAAAAUGUUGAGAAAGUAAAAAAUAAAUCCUGCUUCCACUACCUUAAUAAAGUCCGCUCCAAAAAUGUAUGAUUUUCUUCGGCCCAUACUCUACCCUUUCCAAGUUUCAAUAAAACGGAUUAAUUAGUUUAAAUUAAAACAUAAAUUCUUUGGUGGAUGCAGCAGUGAUUUAUUCUCAUCCCUCAUUCAAUUAUAUGUAUGAGCAGUGACCUUUUCGUUCUAUGCUGAGUCCUGACACGACAAACGUGCAGCAGUAUUCUUAGUAGUUCUUAAACCAGUUUGUUGUAACCCUGCCCACAUUGUGACUGUAGUGUAAGUGUAGACUGUUGUAGAUGUUGUGGGAAAUCUUCAUUUUGAAUUUGCCUCACAGAGGGCUUUAAUGUGUGCUCUAUUAGCAGUUUUCUUUGGGAUGUUACUCGUACACAUUAUUGGCUAUCAGUCCUGAUUGUCACUGUCAGUUGUGUUUUUGGCAAUAAAUGCAGUUUUCUAUCCA